rnacentral:rRNA from 1 species
UACGUAGGGUGCGAGCGUUGUCCGGAAUUAUUGGGCGUAAAGAGCUCGUAGGCGGUCUGUCGCGUCGGUCGUGAAAACUUGGGGCUUAACCCUGAGCUUGCGGUCGAUACGGGCAUGACUGGAGUUCGGCAGGGGAGACUGGAAUUCCUGGUGUAGCGGUGAAAUGCGCAGAUAUCAGGAGGAACACCGAUGGCGAAGGCAGCUCGCUGGGACGGUACUGACGCUGAGGCGCGAAAGCGUGGGGAGCGAACAGG